UUAAGUUUUGUUUGUGCUUGGCGAGAGUAGUACUAGGAUGGGUGACCUCCUGGGAAGUCCUCGUGUUGCACCCC
rnacentral:rRNA from 1 species